rnacentral:rRNA from 1 species
UACGUAGGGGGCAAGCGUUGUCCGGAAUCAUUGGGCGUAAAGAGCGUGUAGGCGGCCAGUUAAGUCCGCUGUGAAAUCUCGAGGCUCAACUUCGAGCUGUCGGUGGAAACUGUCUGGCUAGAGUCCGGAAGAGGAGAGUGGAAUUCCUGGUGUAGCGGUGAAAUGCGCAGAUAUCAGGAAGAACACCCGUGGCGAAGGCGGCUCGCUGGGACGGUACUGACGCUGAGACGCGAAAGCGUGGGGAGCAAACAGG